ensembl:lncRNA
CUCAGCAUCUAAUAACAUCCUCUGCAUUUUCUAUUUCUUUAUUUUAUCCCAAGUAAAUUUAUCUUUUCAUAGAAAAAAAUCAGGUCAAGUUAGUCAUGAAGUGUGCAAGCAAAUCUAAAUCCCUGGAUAUAGGAAGAAUAUUAAUAAGUGAGUAAUAGUUAUGACUUAUUCUUUCUUUCAUGCCUACUUGCUUAGUCACUUGUGAUUAAACCUUAAUCAACUUGGAACAAAGUUACUAUGAUAUUUACAACAAAUUAAACACUGAAUGAAGCAUCAAUUGCUACGUGAUUUUAUCACAAAGGCAAGGUAUAACUCAUCUCUUCCUUUCUCUUAAGCAAAUGACCUGAAUACCAUGAGGUAUCCACCCACACCUAAAAUUUAUCAUCCUAGUCAUCCCUGUUUUCUAUCAAGUUUUAUUCUUUGAUAAAAUCCCAUGAGCUUUCCCUUCAAAAUGGGUAGGAACAAACCUCAGAAUAUUCCAUCUUUAUGACACCACUGAAAAUGUUGAAUUCAGUUUUAGUGCUUUUGUUCAUUUAGAGAAAAGAGACUUGGAGCCAGAUUGGUACACUGGGAGUUUGUUGGCACUGCUGCUGAGAGGGACGAGCCCGAGAAAAUGAAAGUAGAACUUGGCAAACAAGAAUGGAUCCUGCAGUUCAGUAGUCCAAAGCCAACAGCCAGUCCCUUGUAGAAUUUUGAAGGUGGGAUGACACUUCAACAUUCUGCUCAGCUGAGACAAGCGGUUCCCUUUGACCAAAGGCAUAUCUGAGGCUGGGAAUUUAUCCGUGACUUGUUACCAGCCAAUGUGGCAGCCAGGACAUGAAUUCCAUGGCUGUGAAAGAGAACUUGGAAGACCUCAGCAUCUGCAGCAGACAGUACGGCUUCAUCUCUGAUACAAGAAUGGUGAAAGAUGCACGGACUUCACUGUGUCGCUGCAUAGGUUGGAGUGUGGGGUGGCAUGCCCUUUCAAAACUGAAAAUCUGGAACCACAUUGCAGUCUGCGUGUUUAUUAAAGGCAGGUACAGCUAGCAACCCCACUUGGUCUGGUACAAAAGGAAACGCAGGUUCUCUUGUUCAAAAGGAGGAAGAAAGAUGCUGCUGAUGGUCCCAAGGCAUACAUUUUCUAUUCCUUCUUGAUGGGUGCUCUACAUUUUAGGAUGUUUCAUUUGCUAUUUAAUGCUGUUCUAGAUAAGAAAAUUUUACUUUAAAAUCGCAUUUAGGAUUUGUGCUAAGUGAGGUAUAAUCUGAUCUUACCAGAAAACUGAACAAGGAAGCUGUGUGAAGAGUAGAGAGGGGGGUGGGAGACAAACAAACAAAAAGGUGUGUAAGAGUAGGGGGUGGGAACAGACAGGUAUGUUAACUUUAUUCAUACGGUGAUUUUUUUUUUACUUUCUAUACAUAAUCUGCAAUAUUUUUUACAUGCCUUAAAUACACACAAAAAUAAUUUUUAAAAUUCAUGUAUAAAAGGCAGACAGCUCGUAUAGGCUUGUGCAUUUUAUUCUUGCUUGAACAGGGAAAGUGGAUGUUUAGUCAAUUGUUGUAUUUAGUGUCCUCAUAGAAUCAUAUUUUACUAGUACUCUCUCCUUUCAACUUUGUAAUUAAAUGUGGACUUAAAAGCAACUCUGGAUUGUCAUAGCUCUUCCUUUCCUUUCUUGCCAUAAUUUUUAGUGUAAAUGUCUGGCUUGUAUGCAGACAACACAAGCACAGACAGAUAUGAUAGUGUUUCUAGGGUACUAUGUGUGCAUGUUUUUCCUAACUGUGGAUGUACUGUGUCCAUCCAUCCUUCAUUACCAAGACUAUGCCCUCAAACUAUGAGCCAAAAUAAAUGCUUCCUGCCUUAAGUUUUAUUUGUCAAGUAUUUUGUCACAGAAAAGAGAGAAAUAAUAUAGAAAAUAGUUUCCAAGAGUGGUGUCCUUGCUGUGAUAACAAACCUGACCAUGUGGUUCUUAGCAUUUUUAGGAAGUGGUUUGCAAGAAAAGUGUGAAAGAAUUUGGAACUUUGGGAUAGAUAAGCCAUAUUAAGCAUGGCUUAAUGGAAGUUUGAGUGGCAGGAGUUUGAAAGACUAGAAUGUCUUUAGAAAAGUCAAGAAAACGCAGAUGGAGGUCUGGUUCAUGAAGCUUCAUGUAGAAACAAGUAUGCUAGUGAGAGCUGGGCCAGUAUAUUCUGGCAAAGAAUUUGACUCAAGUCCUUGAGCUAAACUGGAAAGUAAUUGACUAAUGUGUGUGGGGGGGGGGGUGGAGAAUGUCAAGACCAGAUAUCAUUCAGUCUGUUUCAUGGUUUCUGCUCACUGCUAGUAUCCAAGUCUACAGUGAGAGAAAGCAACAUGGAAGCAAAGUGAUGUAGAAAAUGUGUCAUUUGGUGAAGAAAGGAAGGAAUCUAAUAUUGCUGACAAAGGGAGUGCUGAGAAAGUAGCUGUAACUAUUAAAGAUGUUACCACCAUAUGGUGGUUUAAAUGAAAAUGGCCCCAUAGGCUCAUAGGGACUGGCACUAUUGGGAAGUGUGGCCUUGUUGGAGUAGGUGUAGCCUUGUUGAAGGAAGUGUGUCACUGGAGGAAGGUUUUGAAAUCUCAGAUACUUAAGCCAGGCCUAGUAUAUCUCAGUCUCUUCCUGCUGCCUAGAAAUCCAUAGGCAGAAUUCUCAGUUCCUCUCCAGUCCCUCGUUUGCCUGCAUGCAACCAUACUUCUUGCCAUGCUGAUAAUGGACUGAACCUCUGAAACUAUUAGCCAGCCCCAAUUAAAUAUUUUCCUUUAUAAAAGUUGCUAUGGUCAAAAAGUUCUCUUUGAAGCAAUAAAACCCUAACUAAGACACACCAUGAAAAAGAAACCUGUGAAUAUGGACAAGAUCUAGCCACUGAAAUCUCCAUCUUGUUAAAAUUUAAAUACAAGUCUGUGGCUCCAGGGGUUGCUCUUCCUUCAUUUGGUACAGAUGCAGCCUGAAAUCAUCCUGAGUGAGGUAACCCAGACCCAGAAAGACAAACAAGAUACAUACUCAUUCAUAAGUGGAUAUUAGACGCAAAGCAAAGGAUAACCAAGCUACAAUUCACAACCCCAGAGAAGAUGGGUAACAAGGAGGACCCUAAGAGAGCCACACAUGGAGGGCCUCAGGUAGAAGAAACAGUUAAGAUCUCCUGGGUAAACUGGGAGGGAGCAGAAGGGAGGAGAUGGGAACAUGAGGGGAUUGAGAUGGCCAAGUUGGGAAGGGACAGAGAGGGAGAGCAAUGAAUGACAUACCUUGUAAGAAGGAGUCAAUAUGGAAUUAGGGAGAAACCUGGUGCUAGGACAAUUCUCAGGAAUCCACAAGGACUACCCCAGUUAAGACUCCUAGCAAUAGUAGAGAAGGUACCUGAACUGACCUGCCCCUGUAAUCAGAUUAGUGACUAACCUAACUGUCAUCAUAGGACCUACAUCCAGUAACUGAUAGAAACAAAUGCAGUGAUCCACAGCCAAGCUCUGGGCUGAGCUCCUGGAGUUCAGUUGAAGACAGGGAGAGUGUAUCAUAUGAACAAGGGGGCAUCAAGAGCAUGAUGCAGAGAUCCACAGAGACAGCUAACUCAAGUUCAGAACUAUGGACUGACAGCUGGGGAACCUGCAUAGGACCAAAGUAGGCUCUCUGAAUAUGGGUGACAGUUGUGUGGCUUGAUUUGUUUGUGGGGUCCAUGCCCGUGGGACCAGGACUUAUCCUGGGUGCAUGAACUGGCUUUUUGGAGCCCAUUCCCUAUGGUGGGAUACCUUGCUCAGCCUGGAUGCAGAGGGGAGGGGAUUGGUCCUGCCUCAACUUUGGUAUACCAGACUUUGUUGACUCCCCAAAGGAGGCCCUACCCCCUCUGAGGAGUGGAUGGGUGGUGGGAUGGAAGGAGGUCGGGGGCUGGAGAAGGGGAAGGAAGGGGAACUUGGGUUGGUAUGUAAAAUGAAAAAAAUAAAUAAAAAUAUUAAUAAAGGUAAUGACAAUUUUUUAAAAGUAAAAAAAAAAUUCAAAUACAUUUGAAAGCAAAAACCUAUACUGAAAAUGUUACUGAAGGGGUUCCUUCCUUUUUCUAGAAAAGUAUUUCCCCAGAGUCAGCCCUGAAAGGCACAGAGGGACUAAUGCAACUGAGUGAGGGGGGGGGGGCAGACUACAACUCAAGCAAGUAGCAGAACUAGACAGCAUCACGCAUAUGGUACUGUGGUGGGCAUGAUACAUGAUACAAGGGAGUGAUAGAGGUUUGGGCCAAGGUUUCAGAAGGCUACUGAAGCCAGCGAUGCAAGGUGUGGCAAGAUUAGAGCUCCUGCAAUGAGGCCCAAAGAACCCAUGAUAUGGAGCUGUGAGGUUGAAGCCUAAGUCAUUGGAAAACUCAGGGUGUUGGUGAUGCCAGUACUAUAGAAUAUCUGUACUGAGGAAAGCUGUGUGCACAAAGUGUCAUUUGCCCAAGAGAAAAGCUGUGUGUGCUGACCCCUGGGGCCCUGAUAGUUCUGACAUGCCCCGGGUAGCUGUGUGCUGAACCUCUGGAGCCCUGAAGGUUCUGUCAUGCCCCAGGUAGCCAACAUCAUGCUGCAAGAGUUGGAGUUUUUUUUCUGCUGACUUUAGUUUUGUUUUGAUUCAGGAAUCAGGAUACCUUGAUUCCUCUCUUUGGGGAGAGAAACACCAUUUUGUUUUGGUAUUGUGCAAUUCGGAUGUUACAGGAGCUCACUGUUGAAAGGUUGCCUGAGUUUCAGAAGACACUCCACACUUACUUUGGACAGUGUUUGAACUGUUAGUGUACAGAAUUUUUGAGGCUUGUGUUAUGAGAUGUUAUGUGUCUCUGGAGACAAGUGGUAAAGGACUGUGACUUGAUAGUAAUGUGGUCGAAAGUCAGGUUAACAAAGGGCCAACUCCUGAUGGUUGAUAUUGAUUGCCAAUUUGACAGACUCUAGAAUCACUCAGUGAGGGGGGAAUGGGGCUGCUGGGUUGAUCCAGGCUUGUAGACCACUGAUAAUUUUGGCAGAAGUUCCAAGAUGAUUGGUCAUGUAUGAGAAAAGAGAAAAUAAAUCCAGGAGGAACUUGAUAAAUACUGCCAGUAAGAACUGCAUCACAUGCCAGUUAACACUGAUUGCACCUGUAGUUAAGUCAGAUGCCAUGCUCCAUCUUUUUGUAUAGUGCCUAGUGAAUCAUUCAGAAAUCCUGUGAAAUGUGAAGCACUGGUAAUAGCACUUUCAAAUGAAGAUGCCAAGGAUUAAAAUGAACAUGGAGCUUAGUAGUUUUCUGCUUGACUUCAGGUCUUUUAACUCAAAAACAGCUAAGACCUAGCAAUACUAAUGACAGCAAAAAAUGAUAAAAUUAAUGCAGGGUUGAAAAGUUAUGACAGAUGCACUGAACUUUCGGUUUAAGAUAUCUUAAUGUUAAGUGAUCCAUCCAGAGGAUUACAAGACCCUGAAGAACUAGUGUGUAAGGGAUUUACAGGAGUUGGCACUGAACAUGUUCAACUCCUCUCAAUAAAAUGGUAUGUCUAAAUUACCUCUAAGUCCUAGCACUAUUCCCAAAUUCUCUCUUUUCCAUAAAGAAAGUUUCCUGAUUCCUCAUUUGGAAAGUAUUUCUUCUUCCUUAUAUCUUAAAAUAAUAUAUAUUCCUAGAUUAAACAGUCACUAGGUUAUCUCUUUCAUUCAUAUAAUUUUCUAAAACUUUUAUGCUUUUGAUUGAGGUCAAGUCAAUGUGUAACAAAAUCUACAUAUCUAUAUAAUUCAUUGAGUUUUUGUAAAUACAUAUUUAAGAGACAGUUAUUUAAACAAAAUAUAGCUUAUGAUAGAAUAGUUAGUUCUGCAAACACAGAAAACAUAGAAGGUUUCUCCUUCUAUGACCACCAUCUUCCAACAAUCCAUCAGAGCCUAGCUUGGACAAUAAAACAUCAUACAAAUAGUCAUACGGCAUGUAUUCUUUCAUGUGUGAUUUGUAUCCUUUACAUAACUUAGAUUUGGUCAUACUGUUGUAGUCUCCCUUUUUACACUAGCUAGUACUGCCCCCUUACAAACAUCAAUAACCAUGCCCAUCUCCUGUGUUGCUUCUGACCCUGAGCUGUUAUGAAUGAGUGACUAUGCUUGUUCUUGUGCACAGAUGCCUAUGUUUACUUCUUUCAGGGGUGGUGAUAAACUAGUUCUGCCUUCUUUUGUUGAUCAGCAUGGUUGAACUUAAUUUUUAAUACUUUAGUUAGUAUGAAAUGGAGCCAUUGUGGUUUUAAUUUAAACAUUCUUUUCUUGUCCCUAUUAACCAUUCAUAUAUCCUCUAUGAUACAAUGGCCAGGUCUUUUGCCCAUUCUUUUUAAACUGAAAUUUUCUUUUUUAAUCUUUUUAUUAUGCAUUAGUACUGGCUUUUUCCCUUUUUUUUUGAAAAACAUCUUUUUUUUCCCCCUCAAAUACAUCUUGAUUAUGGUUUGCCCUCACUGUACUCCUCCCAGUUCCUCCCCACAACCCCUCCCAUCUGGAUCCAACCCCUUUCUGUCUCUCACUGGAAAACAAUUUUCUAAAGGAUAAUAGUAAAGCAAAAUAGGAUAAAACAAAAACUAAUGCAUCAAAAUAGGAAAAAAUAAAAAGGGAAAGACACGCCCCAAAAGGAACAUGAAACAGACAUAGAUUCCGAGUUCCACUUGUUUAUACACUCAGGAAUCCCAUAAAAACACUAAACUGGAAGCCAUUAUCUAUACAAAAAGGACAUGUAAGGUAAAAAGAGAAGUUUGUUUUGUUUUGUUGGGUUUUUUUUAAGCCCCGACAUGACAUUAUGAGACAAGCAACUUCCAAUGAUGCUGUGGAUGCUGUUGAGUUCAUUUUCUAUUGAUCAUCUAUUGCUCAUCACAUAGCCUACCUUUAAGAGCAUUUUGUUUCCCAAAUGAGACUCCACUGGAGAAAAGUAAAUUUUUUAUUUGCAAGUGGCUAUCAAUUGGAGAUAGCUUCUGGGUUAGGGAUGGGCGCAUAUGCCCACUUCCUUAAGCUCUAGCACCCAUCUGGUGCAGAACUGUGCUGCUUUAGUCUCCGUGAGAUCAUGAGAGCUUUGAUCAUGUUGAUUUAAAGAACUUUGUUUUCUUGGUGUCCUCCAUGCCCUCUGGCUCUUAGACUCUUUCUGCAUCUUCUACAGGAUCCCCCGAGCCCUGAGGGGAGUGAUUUGAUGGAGACAUCCAUUUUGGGCUGAGUAUUUUAAGGUCCUCCAUCCUCUGCAUAAUGUCUGCAUGUGGGUCCCUGUAUAAGUUGCCAUCUUCUGUGGGAGGAAGCUUCUCUGAUGAUGGCUGAGCAAGGCACUGACCUAUGAGUACAGCAGAAUGUCAUUAGGAACCAUUUUAUUGCUACAUUCUUUUGUCUGGUUUACCCUAGGUUCCUGGACUUUCUUCACCAUCAAAGCAAUGUCAGGUAUCAUCUUCCACAAUGGGGCCUUGCUGUCAGUCUGUGAAGAGCAACCUACAAUCUUAGCAAUAGCCUGCAUUGAUCAGGAGUUCAAUGAGAAGGCCUAACAACUCAAUUAGAUGUAACUAAUUCCCGGCACUGGAAGUUUCAUUUACUGGCAAGAGAUGUCUCGUUCGGACUUUGAACCAUCCUUGCAUCUCCGGGAUGAAGCCUACUUGAUCAUGGUGAAUGAUCUUUUUGAUGUGUUCUUGAGUUUGAUUUGUAAGGGGUAUUUUUUGAGAAUUAUUGCAUCUAUGUUCAUAAAGAAAAUUGGUUUGUAGUUCUUAAAGUCAUUUGCUUGGAAUAACUUUACCAUUCUUUUACCCUGAGGUGGUGUCUACCUUGAUGUUAAGGUGUGUUUCUAGGAUGCAGCAGAAGGAUGGAUCCUAUUUUCUCAUCCAUUCUGUUAGUCUGUGUCUUUUACUGGGGAAUUGAGACUAUUGAUAUUUGAGAGAUAGUUGUUGAUUCCAGUUAUUUCGCUGGUGUGUGUGUGUGUGUGUGUGUGUGUGUGUGUGUGUGUGUGUGUGUGUUGUUUGUGUGUGUUGUGUGUUGUGUGUGUUGUGUGUUUCCCUUCUUUAGAUUUGCUGGUCUGAAUUAUUCUUUGUGUUUUCUUGAGUGGAGCCAGUGGAAGUGGGAAGGCUGCAGUAGGUGGUCUGAUACAAAGCUGUGGAUGAAACUGGGGGAUUGAUUUGUGAGAGAGAGAAAGGAAGAAGAGGUGAAGAUCUGUAGUUAUCCUACCUGCUUCCCUGGCUAGAGUGGCCUGCGGGUUCCCAGGAAAUGCCUGCUAGAGUCAGCGGGCUGGAAUAAUGGGAUGAGUGGGUAAGGACGUUUGGAGGGGAAGAUCUGUGUGACCCACUGGAUUUGGGACCAUUUGUACUAACUUUUAAAUAGUCUAGAUAAAAAUCUUUGUUUUUAGUUUAUCUUGUUUUGUUUUGGGGAUUUUGUUUGUUUGUUGUUGUUUUUUAGAGAAAGUCUCACUAUGUAGCUUUGCUGGAGUGGAACAAAGUCCUGGAAGGCCUGUGCCUCUACAACUGGCAAAACCUUUGUUUUUAUGUGUUUUUUUCUUUUUUUCCAAUCUCGGCUUUAUUUUUCACUUUAUCAACUGUACCAGUGUUGGGCAAAAUCUCCCAGACAUAGCCAGGAUUUAGAACUAUCUCCAGCUUCUUUAUGGAAUAUUUGUCUAAAUAUACAAAGAUGUUUGUUUAAUUAUGUAAUGACAUGCUGUUGUUUUACCUUGCCUGUCUAAGGCACAUAAUUGGUCUAAUCAAAAGCUGAAUGGCCAGUAGGGAGGGAGGAGGUUUAGGCAGGAGUUCUGGGAAGAGAAAAUGAGUAAGAGGAGAAAUUUAGGCAGGGGUGGUGGAAAGAAAGAAUAAAAGACACCAGGAAGACAUUAGGGGACAGACAGACAAGGAAGAAGCAGGGAAAUAGGGCAUAAAGAAUGAAAGAAAGGUAAAACGACUCAAAGUAAAACAUAAAUGAAUAGAAACGGGUUAAAUUAAGUUAUAAGAGCUAGUGGGACAAGCCAAAGCCAAGGCUGAGAAUUCAUAAUUUAUAGUAAGUCUGUAUGUCUUUAUUUGGAAGCUGGUUGGUAGUCCAAAGAAAAUUCCAACUAUACAGGCUACCAUAUUUGAAAGUCUUCUUCUUCACCCUUUCUCUGGUCCCUCUAGAUAAGUUAUGGGUUUUUUUUAUAACAAAGUUGUUCUAUAAAUGCUCAUUUAUUUUAAAAUUUCAUCAUUAUAUUGAAAUUGGAACAUUAUUUUGUUUGACUAGUUUGUCUCAAAGUUGUUACCUACUGGAAGGGAUUUUUUGUUUUGUUUUGAUGGUGGUGGUGAUAUUCUCUCUCUCUCUCUCUCUCUCUCUCUCUCUCUCUCUCUCUCUCUCUCUCUUUCUGUGUGUGUGUAGGGGGGUUGGUUGGUUGGUUGGUUUGAUGGUUAGUUUGAGAUUUGAUAAUAAUAUGUAGCCUUGUCUGGCCUGGGACUUACUCUGUAGACAAGGCUUGUCUCAGACUUACAGAGAUGCUACGUAUCUCUGUCUCCCAAUUGCUGGAAUUAAAAGUAUGCAUCACUAGACCCAGAGGCCAGCUAAAGUUUUGAGUAGAAUAUAGAAUAUUCUGGGUAGUGUGUUAAAUUAUAUCCUAGUUGAAUACUAAAUUCCUAUGAUAGUUCAUUUUAACAAAUUCUUUCUGAUACAAAAGUCCCCCAAAACCUAGUGCCAGCCUUCCCCCUUAACUGAUCUCAUGUUGAGCCACCAAAUAGUAGAUGAUACAAUAAACACACAUCAUUUAGAAACUGUCUCCCAGGCAUAUAUAGCACUGCAGAGAAAAGUAUUAUCAAAAAAAAUCUCAUUCUGUCACAAAAUGAAGUAUUGAGAAUAUUUUAUUCCAUUUUAUUUCUGAUAUUAUAACUGAAAUUCCAGAAGGCAUGCCAAUUUCAAGUAGUUUCUGUUCUUUUUUUAAACAUGUUAGUAUAAUGGACUAUUAAGUUAAAUGAGACCAUCAGUUUCAAAUAAUGGAGUCAAAUUAAAUUUAAUAGACAUCACUAUUUGUGUCUGUGCUCAUGACAGAACACACUAUAACUUCCUUUGACAUGUACCAGCCUACCCUCAGGUCCCCUUCCUCAAUUCCUUAAGUCACCUCAAGUGACACAUCAAUGCCAAUGCUCAUUUCAGGAUUUCUCCCUAAUUUUGUCUCUGGUGUUCUAUUUAUCUGACAAUUAUUUCAUUGUUCACACUCAUUUUGUAUCUUUGCUCUUACAAAACUAUCAAAUUGCCCUCCUCACACUAGGUUGACAUCAUACUCAUCCUCUGAGCCAUUACCAGAAUUACCUUCCUCAAACAAAACAAAUGUGAUCAGGUCAGCCCUUCCAGUGACUUUCAAAGUCUUCCUCAUGUCCCUAAGGACCAAUUACACCAAACCCGACCCAAAUUAACACUGUAACCUCCAUGGCACCGUCCUCUCCACAACUUCUCACUUUCCCUUCUGUGUUUUCAACAAAUUGAUACUGCUUUCCAAUACCCACUUCCUCCUUCCUGCCUUCAGGUGAGCUUACCUCACUCCAGGUGCAGCACGAACAUUGCCUCAUUGCUGAAGAAUUCCACACUUCUUUCUGACAAGGUGUCAUUAACAAGAAGACAGUGUGUGGAAAUAUUAGGCAGACUGGCUUCUGUUUCAAAAGUCACCAUGAGACAGUGAAGGUACUAAAUUAAUUGAGUCAGAAGACAAUGGUUAAAAAUGUCUGGAGGGAGCUGUUCCGUGCUUACAGGCACUGCUUCCUCACCUGGAUGCCGCACUUCCUCCCUCUCUGACAGGAUUAACAUGAACGCUGCCCAGCGGUCUAUGAAGGCUGCUUCACCUUCCAGUUCAACAAUGCUUCCAUUUAAGAAGCAUCAGAACACAGAAAUCACCACAGGAGACCUGACUCAACUUGUUCCUCCAUUGGAGAGAAAGAUUAAAGUGUUUUUUUCACCUACUUCCCCCUCUUCACCCCCAUCACCUCUUAAUCCUCUAUCCGGCUGAUUCACAGCAGCUGUUAAAUAACUAGACAUUUAGGUAAAGGCAGACUGAACCUAUAAAUCAGCGUGUGUGAUAUAAUAACCAGCCUGCUCAUGCUGUCUUGGUUUGCUAUUUUUAUGCUGACUUCAGCUGCAGCAUCUAUAUGAAGGGGUUUAGAGCAAUUGUAAAUACUAAUCUCUGGGAUGCCAAUGUCAACAUGGAAAUAUAUACAAGUCAGUGAAACCCCCAUUACAUUCAUAGAGAUGAGUAUAGGACUGUCUGCGAACAUACUGAAUAGUAAAAAAAGAGAAAUAGAAAGUGAAGAAUUGUUAGAGAAUGAGGAGGGGAGUAGUAACUGAGAAGGUGGACUCUCGAAUUUGAGAUCAAAUUCCCUUGGAAGGGAAUGCACUCAUUUAUGCCACUACAGUGUUUGGCAACAGAUGAAGAAAAAAACAAACAAACAAACAAACAAACAAAAACCUGCUCCUAGGUAUGGUAGGGAAAGGGUUUAUUGUAGAUAUGAGAGAGAGCAUAGCCAGAGGCAAGAACAUCAGGGAGAGUCCAGAGCGAACAUGACCCCGAGCUGCUUCAUGAGAGAGGAGUAAGGGGGAGGGUACCCAAAAUGGCUGGAUUAUAUAGGGAAGGACAUCUCCGGGAAGGGAAGCCCAACCUCGUGGUGGAGAAGUUUAGGGUGAUAUGUUAAAUAAGCUCCUCAGUUAGCCAUUUGUCCCAGGUUUGAGAUCUAACACAUAUGUAUCCUCCAAACCUGUUAAAAAUCUCCCUAGUACCUGGGUGAAUAUUUGUUAGGACUGUCUAGCUGUGAAUGACAAAAACCAACAUCAGCUGGUUUCAAAUUCGGAAGAUACAAGAUUUCACAGGGAAGCCCAUUUGCAGACAUGUUGUACAUCCGAAGGAGCUGGCCGCAGAGCCAAGAAAUUUCUGAGCCAUCUAAAAUCUCUGCAUUUCAUCUCUCCCAACCCACCCAACCAUUUGUUUUUCUCGCUUUCGAUUAAUUUGUUCCCUUUGUGUAGCAGAUAUUUCUGGUUUAGCAAAUCCAUUGUCCUUUUCAUCUAAGUACAUAUCGGAAUCACAUGUUCUAGUAAUGUGAGCAUGUAGCUCCAUUCUGGCUUCUACUUCAAGGGCUGGUUCAUAAGCACCAGCUCCUCACCUCCUCUGCUCCACACACUUCUACCUACGCUUUCCAUCUGCUACCAGGAUGAUGAAGACUGAGACCGUGGACGUUGUCUGGGAACCAAAAGCUUAAAGAAUCUUGUUCUCUCCACAGUGCAACCUCUACCAAGAAGCUCCGCCCACUUCAGCAUCUACCAGGAAGCUCCUCCUACUUCAGCAUCCACCAGGAUGAUGCUCCUGCUUCAGCUUGCACUUGACGUGAAUGAGAAGUCAAAUGCUAUCCUAAUUCCUAUCCCCUUAAGCCAUUAAAAAUUAAGAUUUCUCAGCUGGGCAGUGGUGGCACAUGCCUUAAAUCCCAGCAAUUGGGAUGCAGAGGCAGGUGGCUCUCUGUGAGUGCGAGGCCAGCCUAGUCUACAGAGAGUUUUCCAGGACAGGCUCCAAAGUCACACAGAGGAACCCUGUCUCAAAAACAAAAAUAAGAUUUCUCUUUAAAGUGAGUAGUUAUCACUCUGAAGUGCCUUUCUUUUAUGUCAAUGAUCUCUUUUUCCUAAUUUGUGAAACCAGACUGAUUCCUGACCCAACAGGUCAGUCCUAUCCUUGAAAGGAGCAAUUUUGAUGAGGAAGGUGGGUUGUGAUACUAAAAAACACUAGUACAGGGUUUACCAUGUGAACAUGCAGUUGUUAGAACACAGUAAGUACGAGGCUUGUUUCAACUCUACUACUAACUCAGUGAGCUGACUUCACCCACAUAUGGUCUCCUUGAGCACCAGCCCCCUCCUCUUGGAGCCAGAGCUUUAGGUGAGAUUAAUUACCUCCAAAGUCUUUUGCAACUAUAGUAUGUUCUCCUUAAUGCUUCAUGCUAUACCUACAAAGCAACUCUUACACAGUGAAAGAGAAUUUCCCUGAAUGAUUUUUGCAAUUGAAUAACCUAAUGCCAAAAAUGUCAGUGACAAUUCUGAGAUACCCUGCUUAGUACCCUGACAUCAUGGGAACACACACACACACACACACACA